rnacentral:rRNA from 1 species
UACGUAGGGUGCAAGCGUUAAUCGGAAUUACUGGGCGUAAAGCGUGUGUAGGCGGUUCGGAAAGAAAGAUGUGAAAUCCCAGGGCUUAACCUUGGAACUGCAUUUUUAACUGCCGAGCUAGAGUAUGUCAGAGGGGGGUAGAAUUCCACGUGUAGCAGUGAAAUGCGUAGAUAUGUGGAGGAAUACCGAUGGCGAAGGCAGCCCCCUGGGAUAAUACUGACGCUCAGACACGAAAGCGUGGGGAGCAAACAGG